UCGAGAAUAUUCGUCAAUGGGGGAAACCCUGAACGAGCGACGCCGCGUGAGUGAAGAAGGACUUCGGUCUGUAAAACUCUUUUCUGGGAGGAGAACCCGCAAGGGUGACAGUAUCCCAGGAAUAAGGAGAUCCUAAUUCUGUGCCAGCAGGAGCGGUAAGACAGAAUCUCCAAGCGUUGUCCGGAUUUAUUGGGCGUAAAGGGUCCGUAGGCGUCCCACCACAUCUUUCAUUAAAUCUUCAAGGCCCAACCUUGAAGCUGUGAAAGAGAUGGGUGGGAUAGAGGGCGUUAGAGGUUGGAGGAACGGUCGGUGUAGGAGUGAUAUCCGUUGAUAUCGACCGGAACACCAAAAGCGAAGGCAUCCAACUGGAGCGGCCCUGACGCUGAGGGACGAAAGUGUG
rnacentral:rRNA from 1 species